rnacentral:rRNA from 1 species
UACGGAGGGGGCUAGCGUUGUUCGGAAUUACUGGGCGUAAAGCGUACGUAGGCGGCUUUGUAAGUUAGAGGUGAAAGCCCGGGGCUCAACUCCGGAAUUGCCUUUAAGACUGCAUCGCUUGAAUCAUGGAGAGGUGAGUGGAAUUCCGAGUGUAGAGGUGAAAUUCGUAGAUAUUCGGAAGAACACCAGUGGCGAAGGCGGCGAUCUGGGAAGAUACUGACGCUGAGGUGCGAAAGCGUGGGGAGCAAACAGG